rnacentral:lncRNA from 1 species
CGGAAUCUUGUUCCGCCUAUCUUUGUCAGAUAUUUUAACUAAAGUUAUUAACAUUGUUUGCCACAAUAAUGAGUUUGAUAUUUGGCAUUCAUGUGACGCCCGGAUAAUUAAGCUACAGUGAACCUCUGUUAAUGAUGCCACGUGACCUCCGUUACUGUUGCUAAUCUCGCGUUAGUUCAAAACCGGUUCGAAAUCCAAAUUCAAGAACAAGCCAAACAAUUAAAGUUUUCAAAAGUCAAAACUCAAAUGUUCUUAUUGUGACAAAUAAUUCAUAAGAUAUAUUGGUGGAGAAAACAAGUCUUUAUAAAAUGUUUAAAUGCACUAGACUAAUUAAAUCAGUAGCUAAAACCAUUAAUUAAAUGCCUUUUAUAUUUUGUAAAAUACUAAGCUAUAAUAUUUUGGGAUGAAACCUUUUGUGGUUGUGACAUAAUUGAAACAUCAAUUUAGGUGCCACUUUGUAUAUUAUCAAAACCAAAAUAAUUAGGAACAAAAAAAACAAAAAGAAUUGUAAAUAAAAAUAAGAAAAAACAAAAGCAAACAAAACAAACAAACAAAAGAGAACCCCCCCCCCUCGCUGGACUUCGGUCCAGCAGGCCACCAGGCCGCCAGGCCAGCCGACCAGCUCACUGGCCCGACUGGCCCAUCNNNNNNNNNNNNNNNNNNNNNNNNNNNNNNNNNNNNNNNNNNNNNNNNNNNNNNNNNNNNNNNNNNNNNNNNNNNNNNNNNNNNNNNNNNNNNNNNNNNNNNNNNNNNNNNNNNNNNNNNNNNNNNNNNNNNNNNNNNNNNNNNNNNNNNNNNNNNNNNNNNNNNNNNNNNNNNNNNNNNNNNNNNNNNNNNNNNNNNNNNNNNNNNNNNNNNNNNNNNNNNNNNNNNNNNNNNNNNNNGCCUCCCUCCUCUCCCCCACCACCUCUCAAUCCCAUCUGGAUUGGGGUGGCGUUCGACCGCGACGCCCCCGCCCGAGGAACCCCAUCGCCCACGCUGUCGCCGCUCCACCCUCGGCUCCUCCUCAUCGGCUCCACCAACCCUCACCGCCCCUUUCCCAGAUCUGGACGUGUCGCUCCCGACCGCGUCGCCCAUCGCCCGAGGACCUCGCUGCCGGACACCCUCACCGCCUCGCCGGAUCGUCGUCCCCGUCCUCCUCCCCACUGGCCUGCUUCCUCUUUGCCAUCGUCCCAGUCGACCACCCCGACCCCGCUGCCCUUUCCCUACGAAUCCUGGUGAGGACCCUGGUCCUCCUCUCUCCCUCGCCCCGCGAUCACGCCUCGCGCGCUCUGGCCUCGUGCUCACCGCGGUCGGGCCGCGCCCUGGCCAUGCGCCGCGCCGUCCGGCCGUGCCCGCCGUCCACGACCACCUGCACACGCCUCGCCCGCCCCUACUCACUACCCCGCGCGGCCUCGACGCUGCCAUCUCCGGCGUCCGUGCGCCCGCGCUGCAUCGGCGCCCUUCCACGCCCGCGGACCCCUUCCCUUGUCGUCGCGGAGGCCGUCGGCGCCUCGCUGCUCCUCUGCCGCCCGGCGCCCACUGCCGGUGCUCGCUCCCGCAUCGGUGCCCGUUCGGGCUAGGCGCCAGCGCCCACACGCCCGUAACCGCACAGCGCGGUGCCCGCUAAGGCCUCUAGGCCACUAACAAACGGGGCCCGCGCCCCUGUAACGUUUAAAAGGAAAAAAAGAAUAUUAAUUAACUUAAUUAAUCAUGUUAAUUAAUCAAAUUAGCCCUGUUAACUAACCUUAAUAACCUAAUUAGAUAAAUAGUCAAUGACAGACGGCCCCCACUGCCCUGUUUGACCGGUCAACGGUCAACGCUGACCGCUGACAUCAUGAUGACGCAAUAAACAUUUUCUAAUUAAAUUAAUUCUGUUAAUUCUAAAAAUGAAUUAAAACUUUUGAAAAUUAAUAUAAAAUAAACCGUAGCUCGCAUGGAAAAACUUUGUACACGAAACUUGCUCAGAACGACGAGAUGAAUCCGGAUACGCAGCCCGUUCGUCCGCCACACAUCCCUAGCAUAGAGAACACACAACUUUCCCCCUCUGGAUCACCUGUCCGAAAACGCGAAACACCGGGGAUACUUUCCCGGAUGUUUCCCCCUUUCGCCGGCAUCACCUACUACCGCGUUAGGGAACACCUAGCACCGCGUAUUGCCAUGUUACGUUUUGUGAUGCUUUGAUUGCUCUGUUAUUUAUUGUGUUCCCCCUCCGUUACUUCUUUCCGGUAGACCUCGAGACUGCCGACGACCCACAGUUCGACUACGGAGUUGAUGACCCCUCCUUGCCAGAGCAACCAGACAAGCCCCCCCCCCUUGAUCACCAGAUAUCGCCUAUUCUUCUCUAUACUGCUUGCAUUAGAGAAGUGUAGCAUGUUACUGUUCGGUUACUCCUAUUCUGUUGCAUAGCAUGUCAUUGUUGCUACAGUCGUUGAUACCUUACCCGCAAUCCUAAAUGCUUAGUAUAGGAUGCUAGUUUAUCAUCAUUGACCCUACAUUCUUGUCAGUCUACCUUGCUAUACUAUCGGGUCGUGAUCACUUGGGAGGUGAUCACGGGUAUAUACUAUACAUACAUACUAUUCAUGUGGUGACUAAAGUCGGGUCAACUCGUUGAGUACCCGCAAGUGAUUUUGAUGUGAGGGCUGGAAGGACAGGUGGCUCCAUCCCGGUAGAGGUGGGCCUGGGUUCCCGACGGCCCCCGACUGUUACUUUGUGGCGGAGCAACAGGGCAGGUUGAGACCACCUAGGUGAGAGGUGGGCCUGGCCCUGGUUCGCGUUCGCGGUUGCUUCAUGAUAACACGCUUAACGAGAUCUUGGUAUUUGAUAUGAGUCUGGCCAUUGGCCUAUACGCACUAACCAACUACGCGGGAAAGAUAUGGACACUCGACGUCGUGGUAUCAGCCGAAGCCUUCGUGACGGCAGCGACUGAGCGGCGCGCGCCGGAUUGGAACGUAAGCCUGCUCUUGUAUUAAGGGGGCUAGUUCUGCUUCCGGCCGCCCACGCAACAUGCAGGUGUGUAAUGGGCGAUGGGCCCAGACCCCUGCGCGCAGAGGACUUAGACCGGCGUGCUGACCUCUCUGUUGUGCCUAGGUGGGGCUGCGACGUGUUGAUCUUCCGAGGUCGGGCAUGACCCAGGAAAGUGUGUCCGGCCAAAUGGGAUCGAGCGUGUUGGGUUAUGUGGUGCACCCCUGCAGGGAAAUUAAUCUAUUCGAAUAGUCAUGUCCCUCGGUAAAUGGACGACACGGAGUUGUACCUUGACCUUAUGACAACUAGAACCGGACACUUAAUAAAACACACCCAGACAAGUUCCACAGACAACCCGGUGAUCGCUUUUCCACAGGGCGACGAAGGGAGGAUCGCCGGGUAGGAUUAUGCUAUGUGAUGAUACUUGGAGGACUUCACUCUAUUCUCUUCUACACGCUGCAAGACGGAGGCUGCCAGAAGCGUAGUCUUCGAUAGGACUAGCUAUCCCCCUCUUAUUCUGGCAUUCUGCAGUUCAGUCCACUCAUAUUGCCUCCUUACACAUAUACCCAUGCAUAUGUAGUGUAGCUCCUUGCUUGCGAGUACUUUGGAUGAGUACUCACGGUUGCUUUGCUCCCUCUUUUCCCCUGUUUUCCUCUUCUUCUCGGAUGCCGCAACCAGAUGUUGGAGCCCAAGAUCCAGACGCCACCGUCGAUGACGACUACUACUCUGGAGGUGCCUACUACUACGUGCAGGCCGCUGACAACGACCUGGAGUAGUUUAGGAGGAUCCCAGGCAGGAGGCAUGCGCCUCUUUCGAUCUGUAUCCCAGUUUGUGCUAGCUAUCUUAUGGCAACUUGUUUACUUAUGUCUGUACUCAGAUAUUGUUGCUUUGCUGACUCGUCUAUGAUCGAGCACUUGUAUUCGAGCCCUCGAGGCCCCUGGCUUGUAUUAUGAUGCUUGUAUGACUUAUUUAUGUUUUAGAGUUGUGUUGUGAUAUCUUCUUGUGAGUCCCUGAUCUUGAUCGUACACGUUUGCGUGCAUGAUUAGUGUAUGAUUGAAUCGGGGGCGUCACAAGUUGGUAUCAGAGCCGACUGCCUGUAGGAAUCCCCCUUUCCAACUCCUUGGUUGUAGUCGAGUCUAGUCAUUGAAAAACUUUUACUAACUUGGCUGUGUGGCUUACGGGCCCACGUCGACAUUGGGUUGUAUUAGGAUCUUUUACUCCUCGUCUAUACUCUGGGACUCUGAUCUCUCUUCUACUCGGGUUAAAUGAAUUUUGCUAACUCUAACAUUAGGAUCUCGUGACCACUUCCACCCGGAGAGCCCCAUGUUACCGAUGACCGCCUGCUGCACCAGAAGAUUCUGAAGAUACUCUACGAUGUGCUCUCGAGGCUAUGUGCCAUCGCUUUUGCAAUUCCCAUCCAUCGAUAAACCUCUAUGGAUAACCACGUACACUUGCCAUUCCUACAAUCUUUCCGUGUUGAUCUUAUCAUUAUAAGAUACCUCGAAAUCCUCUCUAUUGUUCCGAGAAUACUUUGUGCCUACUGCCUUGCUGUUCUUUGCCACGUGAAUACCCCUACGGUAAUUCCUUACACUUAUCGAGAAUCUACUCAUCCCCAGUUAUUCAAGUGUUUCACAAUGGUCUUCAAAAUACUAUUCAAUCCUCCAAAAACCCUCAGCAGUUCUGCUUGCAUUAUGGAUACUUCCCAUAUAUCUGGCAAUAUUCAUUAGUCUCCUUUGACACCGUCAUUUUGAUCCUGUUGAAUCAACAUGAGUGUGAAUGCACGCAAUCAUCAGUUGAUCCUUUUAAAUUGUCUUUCCGUCUUAGACGUCAUUUAGAACAUGAGCUGGUUCUCCACCAAUCAAAUUGCCGAUGAUUGUACCCCUAAGUCUGUACGACUUAUCCGUCCUUUAUCAGAGCUUUUGCUUCUGACCCCUUGAUUUGGAAAUCAUAAUUCAUUUUUCAUUUGAGGUUUGAAUUAGUCAGUUGUUUCUAUAAUCUGAUGCCUUUGCAUUCUUUUUCCUUCUGAUUGAGUAUCGAUACUCACAUCAGAUUCCUUGUGGUCCGCGAGACCAAUUGCUUGGUUAUUAUCCGAUAGUGUCCUUCAUAUCCAAUAACCUUGUUAGUUCUUCCCCUAAUAUAUAAUGCCUUUUGUAAACUGUAUCCUCUGUUUUUGUUAACCACGCUCUGCAUUCGAGCUUGAGUUAUUUUACUCCUGAAGUUUGUGGUAUAUGUUCCUAAGAGGCCCCGAUGGGUUAGACAUAUGCCUUUUCUAAUCUGUGUGAACCCGGAAACUACUACGGGUCAUACUCUACUGGUGUUAUGUCAGUAAAAUUUCAACACCACAACUUCGCUGAAGACGAGAAGUGAAUGAAAGGUUGUGCAUUAAAGAAGUGGGAGUCGACCUUGAACUUUGUGUUCAUGCCCAUGGACCUGAUGUGGAACUUAUCAUGGAAGCUUUUUGCAAAAUAUUUAAUCCUUUGGGCAAUUCUUCCGGUGUCAUUAAAUUGGAUCCCUUGCAGCUAUGGUUCCGACCAUAUUGUUCUUCUUUGAUCCCAUUUCUCGGGCAAGUUUAAGCAUUUGUCUUCUGCGGAUCAAUACCCCACUCCAACCUCUACUUUGAUCUGCCGUCAAGUAUUACACUCUGGUAUCUUGAGAAUAUCAUGGAACUGCAUAACUUCUUAUGGGUUCUUCAUCAACUGUUAAUUCCCGCCACUUCCAGUUUUCCUGGGUUAUGGGUUGUCGUCAACCGGGGACACCAAUUGGUGAAUCGAGUCCGCACUCUGAUUCAAUAACUCUAAGUAAUUCUUGUUUCUUACGAGUUUAAUAAUCCUUCAAGUCAUCCCAAGCCUGAUCGGCUAUAUCACUAUCGUGCUAAAUUUUAACUGUGCUACCGGGUCCUUCUUCCCAGAGCACUAUUUUUGACGACGAGCUAAGCUUACGUCGAUCUUUCCUCAUCAUAUCAUUUCGCUUUGGACGACAAGCUUGUUUUGGAGUUUGUGCCUUACCCAUGGUUCUAAUAACCUUUUGCUUCAUCAUUCAUUAGACUUGUUGUCAUCGCUGAUCGAUUACAUCUUCAUGAAAUCUCUCGACAAAAUGUGCCGUGAUCAUCGUCAACAUCUUAACUUCAUCCGAGGUAUCAAUCGAAUUCAUGAUGGUAAGUGCCAUCCUCGUCGCUUGGUAAUUGAGUUGCCAUUGACAACAUCUUUACCUUCCUUUCAUCACAAACUUGUUCAUGUUAUGGAUGCAACUUGCUAUCCAGUUUGUAUUAUGUUCUACCUUGAAGUAUUACUAUCCUUAAAUGUCAAAAAAAUAUUACUGUCCUUUAUGUCAAGGAUGUUGAGAGAAUUGCUCCAACUAUUAAUUCUUGAUAUAGUAAUACUUAUCGCCAUCCCCGUUCAUUUCUUGGUCCCGUGUUGCUUCCAACCGGAAUAAUAAUAGGUGAAUGGUGCCGUUUGGAUUUUGCCCUUCUAUCAACCCAAUUGCUACGAAGUUAAUGGUCGAUAAUUCAUUCUUAGACCAUUGGUUAUCGAAUCACCAUUAUAGCAUCGGUCAUGCUACCUAAGCCAUAUUUCAGGUGCAACUUUCAACCAAUGUUUAAGUGUGUAUGUUUUUCCUCGAGCAUACAUCAUUAUAUCAUUUGAUAUGACAAAUGUUAUCUCCUUGAUCACAUAAUUGUGGAAAUCCAUCUUUUUGGAAAUCUUGAUGCUAUGUCGCUGAGUCCAUCAGCCACCUCCUCAUCCUCGCCUUAGUUUAAUGAUGAACUAUUGUUUCACGAACCCGCUCCCAUAGUUCAUUUCUCGAGGAACUUGCAAUGUCAUUUCGUCAAUUUGUGUUGCACCUUUCUCUUCUCAGGCAUCCUGACUCUGAGGUAUCCUAACACCAAUCAAAUUUGAAUCUCGGUCAGAUAUGAUGGUUGGAACAUAUUUCCAGGAGUUAUAACAUUGGUCUUUAUAUGACCCGGCAAGGUGAUGUCUUGCCUAGCACACCUGGCCGAAGGGCCUAUUAUUAUAGUUCCAUUUUGGCAAGGUUAGCCAUUUCUUCCAUGAGGGAAUUGUAAAAAUUAUUCUAUAAGUUGUUCCUGAUGGAUCCUUUGUGUAUCCAAAGUCUGACCUUUGCUUGAAGACCAUGCCAAUGCUAUCUUGAAGCAUGUCUGUGGUACUUCGAUUUUCAAUAAGAGAAUUUGAAGAACAAUGCUAAAUUUUCUUUGUCCAUUAUCCAAAUACCGUUGUUUGGGUAAUGUCAUAAAAUUUCUCUCCCCUUACCUAAAUGGUUUUCUACGUUAUAUCUUGCCAUGGAUAUCAUGCUCUGCUUCUCCUUGGAAAGGGUGUACCCCUGGUAUAUGUGUCAAACACCUUUUCCUUUCCAUUGUUCUAUUUGAUCCGAUUAUCACAUUUUCCUUUCCAUUGAUUUAUUUAACCUUCCUUGUGAUCCAUAUGAUCUAAGCAGUAAUAUUCUUUUGCUUAUGUACACACGUUGGUGUACAACCGUGUCAGUAAGACCCUGUUGCAUUUGUCGAUAACAUUCCGGUAACAACCGAUGGGCGAGAACUUUGCCACUUGGUUUGCCUCGUUCAACGAGCAGGAAAAUUGCUCUCUUCGUUCCCCGUCCUUGGUACCGACAUUGUUGCCGGCAUAGCUGACAAGCUAUUCACUGACAUGCCUCCCUGUCGCGGCUGUGGAAGAUGUCACCACCCUUCCUACUUUCAACCCACAUGGUGGGCCCAUAACCACAACUCCACAGGAUCGAAACCUGACUCUCCUGUACACCCCCGUUUCCAAAGUUAUUCCUCGUGCAUGACCUCAUAUGUCAUUCACGGGCCACCUUCCUAGUGAUCUAUUCUGGUAACAGACGCAAUACUCAAUCUUGUCGCUCUGGACCCCUUUCGCCCGUUGUUUCUGACAUCGAACGAUUGCCUAUCCGUUUGAAACUUCUCAUGGUACCUUCUUACUUUGCUCUUGAUAUCUUCUUAAGUUUCAAUUCGAGAGGCACUUAUGCUUCUUCCCCUAAGUUAACCGUUCGAUGCUCAAUCUUGUUUGAACCCGUCCUUAUAGAGCUUUCCCCCUCUUAUCCUUUCGUAAGUUCGGUGAAGAUCCUGAAGGAAGGACGACAACUUCAUCAUGAUGCAUUGAUACAUAGGAAUGAAGACAUCAAUGCUAUGGAUCGACCUCUUCGAGAAGAACAACCAAGACCGAGAAGAUUUGUUACAUUCGUAACCAGACCUUUUCCCCGUUUUCCACCUCUUAAAUCUCGGGACGAGAUUUCUUGUAGUGGAGGAGAAUUGUGACGCCCAGAUAAUUAAGCUAUAGUGAACCUCUGUUAAUGAUGCCACGUGACCUCCGUUACUGUUGCUAAUCUCACGUUAGUUCAAAACGGGUUCAAAAUCCAAAUUCAAGAACAAGCCAAACAAUUAAAGUUUUCAAAAGUCAAAACUAAAAUGUUCUUAUUGUGACAAAUAAUUCAUAAGAUAUAUUGGUGGAGAAAACAAGUCUUUAUAAAAUGUUUAAAUGCACUAGACUAAUUAAAUCAGUAGCUAAAACCAUUAAUUAAAUGCCUUUUAUAUUUUGUAAAAUACUAAGCUAUAAUAUUUUUGGAUGAAACAUUUUGUGGUUGUGACAUAAUUGAAACAUCAAUUUAGGUGCCACUUUGUAUAUUAUCAAAACCAAAAUAAUUAGGAACAAAAAAACAGAAAAGAAUUGUAAAGAAAAAUAAGAAAAAAC